CGGAGCUUGGAACACAGGUGCUGCAUGGCUGUCGUCAGCUCGUGUCGUGAGAUGUUGGGUUAAGUCCCGCAACGAGCGCAACCCUCGUCCUUAGUUGCCAUCAUUAAGUUGGGCACUCUAAGGAGACUGCCGGUGAUAAGCCGCGAGGAAGGUGGGGAUGACGUCAAGUCCUCAUGGCCCUUACGGGCUGGGCUACACACGUGCUACAAUGGCGGUGACAAUGGGCAGCGAACCAGCAAGGGGGAGCUAAUCUCAAAAAGCCGUCUCAGUUCGGAUUGCACUCUGCAACUCGAGUGCAUGAAGUUGGAAUCGCUAGUAAUCGUGGAUCAGCAUGCCACGGUGAAUACGUUCCCGGGCCUUGUACACACCGCCCGUCACACCAUGGGAGUUGGUUUUACCUUAAGACGGUGCGCUAACCGCAAGGGAGCAGCCGGCCACGGUAAGGUCAGCGACUGGGGUGAAGUCGUAACAAGGUAGCCGUAGGGGAACCUGCGGCUGGAUCACCUCCUUU
rnacentral:rRNA from 1 species